GAUGAAGAACGCAGUGAAAUGCGAUAAGUAAUGUGAAUUGCAGAAUUCAGUGAAUCAUCGAAUCUUUGAACGCACAUUGCGCCCCCUGGUAUUCCGGGGGGCAUGCCUGUUCGAGCGUCAUUUCACCACUCAAGCCUCGCUUGGUAUUGGGCAACGCGGUCCGCCGCGUGCCUCAAAUCGACCGGCUGGGUCUUCUGUCCCCUAAGCGUUGUGGAAACUAUUCGCUAAAGGGUGUUCGGGAGGCUACGCCGUAAAACAACCCCAUUUCUAAGGUAGACCUCGGAUCAGGUAGGGAUACCCGCUGAACUUAAGCAUAUCAAUAAGCGGAGGA
rnacentral:misc_RNA from 1 species